GUUUUUGCCCAUUCAGUAUGAUAUUGUUUUGAGGCCAAGGUGAAGAGCCCUAGAGAGGCAUUCUCUGGAGCCGAGCAGUGUUACAGGAGCAGAUCUUCAGUCUUAGUAUUACAGGUCAGAAGUCUGACCCAGACCUCCCUGGACUAAACUCAAGAUGUCAUCAGAGGCUGGAGUGCAGUGGUGCAAUUAUGGA